rnacentral:rRNA from 1 species
UGGGGAAUAUUGGACAAUGGGCGCAAGCCUGAUCCAGCCAUGCCGCGUGAGUGACGAAGGCCUUAGGGUUGUAAAGCUCUUUUGGCGGGGAAGAUAAUGACGGUACCCGAAGAAGAAGCUCCGGCUAACUUCGUGCCAGCAGCCGCGGUAAUACGAAGGGAGCUAGCGUUGUUCGGAAUCACUGGGCGUAAAGCGCACGUAGGCGGAUAGUUAAGUCAGGGGUGAAAUCCUGGGGCUCAACCCCAGAACUGCCUUUGAUACUGGCUGUCUCGAGGUCGAGAGAGGUUGGUGGAAUUCCUAGUGUAGAGGUGAAAUUCGUAGAUAUUAGGAAGAACACCAGUGGCGAAGGCGGCCAACUGGCUCGAUACUGACGCUGAGGUGCGAAAGCGUGGGAGCAAACAGGAUUAGAUACCCAAGUAGUCCCUGAG